UGCUAUACAUGCAGUCGAGCGGACAGAUGGGAGCUUGCUCCCUGAUGUUAGCGGCGGACGGGUGAGUAACACGUGGGUAACCUGCCUGUAAGACUGGGAUAACUCCGGGAAACCGGGGCUAAUACCGGAUGGUUGUUUGAACCGCAUGGUUCAGACAUAAAAGGUGGCUUCGGCUACCACUUACAGAUGGACCCGCGGCGCAUUAGCUAGUUGGUGAGGUAACGGCUCACCAUGGCGACGAUGCGUAGCCGACCUGAGAGGGUGAUCGGCCACACUGGGACUGAGACACGGCCCAGACUCCUACGGGAGGCAGCAGUAGGGAAUCUUCCGCAAUGGACGAAAGUCUGACGGAGCAACGCCGCGUGAGUGAUGAAGGUUUUCGGAUCGUAAAGCUCUGUUGUUAGGGAAGAACAAGUGCCGUUCAAAUAGGGCGGCACCUUGACGGUACCUAACCAGAAAGCCACGGCUAACUACGUGCCAGCAGCCGCGGUAAUACGUAGGUGGCAAGCGUUGUUCGGAAUUAUUGGGCGUAAAGGGCUCGCAGGGGGUUUCUUAAGUCUGAUGUGAAAGCCCCCGGCUCAACCGGGGAGGGUCAUUGGAAACUGGGGAACUUGAGUGCAGAAGAGGAGAGUGGAAUUCCACGUGUAGCGGUGAAAUGCGUAGAGAUGUGGAGGAACACCAGUGGCGAAGGCGACUCUCUGGUCUGUAACUGACGCUGAGGAGCGAAAGCGUGGGGAGCGAACAGGAUUAGAUACCCUGGUAGUCCACGCCGUAAACGAUGAGUGCUAAGUGUUAGGGGGUUUCCGCCCCUUAGUGCUGCAGCUAACGCAUUAAGCACUCCGCCUGGGGAGUACGGUCGCAAGACUGAAACUCAAAGGAAUUGACGGGGGCCCGCACAAGCGGUGGAGCA
rnacentral:rRNA from 1 species